GAUCCUGGCUCAGAACGACGCUGGCGGCAUGCCUAACACAUGCAAGUCGAACGAGACCUUCGGGUCUAGUGGCGCACGGGUGCGUAACGCGUGGGAAUCUGCCCUUGGGUUCGGAAUAACUCAGAGAAAUUUGAGCUAAUACCGGAUGAUGACGAAAGUCCAAAGAUUUAUCGCCCAGGGAUGAGCCCGCGUAAGAUUAGCUUGUUGGUGGGGUAAUGGCCUACCAAGGCGACGAUCUUUAGCUGGUCUGAGAGGAUGAUCAGCCACACUGGGACUGAGACACGGCCCAGACUCCUACGGGAGGCAGCAGUGGGGAAUAUUGGACAAUGGGCGCAAGCCUGAUCCAGCAAUGCCGCGUGAGUGAUGAAGGCCUUAGGGUUGUAAAGCUCUUUUACCAGGGAUGAUAAUGACAGUACCUGGAGAAUAAGCUCCGGCUAACUCCGUG
rnacentral:rRNA from 1 species